UACGAAGGGGGCUAGCGUUGCUCGGAUUGACUGGGCGUAAAGGGCGCGUAGGCGGUUUGCAUAGUCAGACGUGAAAUUCCUGGGCUUAACCUGGGGGCUGCGUUUGAUACAUGCGAGGCUUGAGUUCGGAAGAGGGUCGUGGAAUUCCCAGUGUAGAGGUGAAAUUCGUAGAUAUUGGGAAGAACACCGGUGGCGAAGGCGGCGACCUGGUCCGAUACUGACGCUGAGGCGCGAAAGCGUGGGGAGCAAACAGG
rnacentral:rRNA from 1 species